rnacentral:rRNA from 1 species
AACGUAGGAGACGAGCGUUAUCCGGAAUUACUGGGCGUAAAGCGCGUGUAGGCGGUUGAGUAAGUUCGUCGUGAAAGCUUCCGGCUAAACUGGAAGAGGUCGAUGGAUACUGCUCGGCUGGAGUGCGGGAGAGGCAGGUGGAAUUCCGGGUGUAGUGGUGAAAUGCGUAGAGAUCCGGAGGAACACCAGUGGCGAAGGCGGCCUGCUGGUCCGCAACUGACGCUGAGACGCGAAAGCGUGGGGAGCGAACAGG